UAAUCCUUUUAUCACCUCCCCUCCUCACACCUGGUCCGGCUUACAGUUUCUAGCCCUCCCCUCACCUGCCCAACAAUUUUCUUUUAAACAGGUGGCUGGAGCUAAAGGCAUAGUCAAGGUUAAUGCUCCUUUUUCUUUAUCUGACCUCUCCCAAAUCAGCUAGCAUUUAGGCUCUUUUUCAUCAAAUAUAAAACCCCGGCCCAGUUCAUGGCUCAUUUGGCAGCAACCCUGAAACGCUUUACAGCCCUAGACCCUAAAAGGUCAAAAGGCCAUCUUAUUCUCAAUGUACAUUUUAUUACCCAAUCUGCUCCCGACGUUAAAUAAAAUCCCCAAAAUUAAAUUCCAACCCUCCAACCCCACAACAGGACUUAAUGAACCCGCCUUCAAGGUGUACAAUAAUAGAGUACAGCCAGCCAAGUAGCAACAUAUUUCUGAGUUGCAACUCUUUGCCUCCACUGUGAGAGAAACCCCAGCCACAUCUCCAGCACGCAAGAACUUCAAAAUGCCUAAGCUGCAGCAGUCAAGCAUUCCUACAGGACCUUCUCUAUCAGGAUCUUGCUUCAAGUGCUAGAAAUCUGGCCACUGGGCCGAGGAAUGCCCUCAGCCCAGGAUUCCUCCUAAACCUUGUCCCAUCUGUGCAGGACCCCACUGGAAAUCAGACUGUCCAACUCACCCAGCAGCCACACCCAGAGCCCCUGGAACUCUGGCCCAAGGCUCUCUGACAACUUCCCACAUCUUCUCGACUUAGGGGCUGAAGACUGACGCUGUCCGAUCACCUCGAAGCUUCCUGGACCAUCACAGAUGCUUUGGAUAACUCUUGCAGUGCAGGUCUGCAGGUGUACCCAACAGCUCCGAAGAGACAACGACCACCAUGGAGAACGGGCCAUGAUGACGAUGGUGGUUUUGUGGAAAAGAAAAGGGGGAAAUGUGGGGAAAAGAGAGAUCGACUGUUACUUUGUCUAUGUAGAAACAAGUGACAUAAGAGACUCCAUUUUGUUCUGUACUAAGAGAAA